CCUACGUGUGGCUGCAGUGGGGAAUAUUGGACAAUGGGCGAAAGCCUGAUCCAGCCAUGCCGCGUGUGUGAAGAAGGCCUUCGGGUUGUAAAGCACUUUCAGUGGGGAAGAAAGCCUUGGGGCUAAUACCCUCGAGGAAGGACAUCACCCACAGAAGAAGCACCGGCUAACUCCGUGCCAGCAGCCGCGGUAAUACGGAGGGUGCGAGCGUUAAUCGGAAUUACUGGGCGUAAAGCGCGCGUAGGCGGUCUGAUAAGCCGGUUGUGAAAGCCCCGGGCUCAACCUGGGAACGGCAUCCGGAACUGUCAGGCUAGAGUGCAGGAGAGGAAGGUAGAAUUCCCGGUGUAGCGGUGAAAUGCGUAGAGAUCGGGAGGAAUACCAGUGGCGAAGGCGGCCUUCUGGACUGACACUGACGCUGAGGUGCGAAAGCGUGGGUAGCAAACAGGAUUAGAUACCCCGGUAGUC
rnacentral:rRNA from 1 species